CCAGCAAUUAGGAGCCCGGGUCUCCUCCUCCUCUUCCUCCCCGACGACGCCACGGAAGAGCGAGCGCCCUGCUCGGACCCAAUGGACGGCCGACUGGGAGUGUCUCGAUGGAGGAGAAGCUGAUCCUGAUCUCCGUCCAGGACCCGGGAAGGACAGCAAAGAAUCUGAUAGUUCAAUAAAAACAAAGGAGACAUCCAGCUUCCCGAAGACGCUUGGCAUGACGGUGUGUAAGAGAGAAACUACAACUUCACACCAAGGAGAGACUGAGGCUGUCGAGGAGAAAAGUAGUCCGCCGGGUCGUGCCGAAGCUUCGGUACUUUCACUCCCUUUCUAUGGCGAAGAACAAAAACAAACGCGUUUUUAACUACACCGUUCCAGACCGGCGGCUUAAUCCAGCCUCUAGCCUUGCCUGUUGGCUGCUUUGAGCUUGGCUGCAUCGCCUGGUGGCGUCUUGCCCUUUCCAGGCUCCACCAGCCGCUGAAGGAGACAAACUCUCCUUUCCUCUCUGGGCUAUUCCAAAUGAUUUUCCCCAAACGUGAGAGCAUGUAUCGAUUCAUGAAUCGCGGAGAGGUCGCGUUGAAUUGAUCCUUCGGAACUCCUUUACGAAACAAAACACGCUGAGCUGCGUGGAAUGGCCUUCCCAAGCCUUUCUCUCUCAAACCAGCUCAUUAUGAUAAUUACCUUCGGGAUAUUAGUGGAGCAAUAUUUAGAAGAGGGAGGAAGUGGCCGUAUUUUCUCUUUUAUUUUGAAACUUAUCUUGUAUUUUCCAAAACUCCAUGAGGCAAGCAUUUUCAAAAUCUGUAAUUACAGAGUAGAUCCAUUUCAUUCCAAUGUCUUUUUUUCCUUCUCCUUUUUGAAUUUUUAAGCAGUGUUUUAGGACUCUGUUGCUAAACCUGCUCUGGACUCCAGCCUUGAGGCAGAGGACAUGGAGCCAAGGAAAGGGCGUCCCCAAACAUGUGCAGAUGGCUUUCUCCCCACCACCAACCGAGUUUCCAAGGCAGAGCUGCCUGAUCUUAUCGGAGGUCUGACAUCUCUCAGCCCGGUUUUCUAUCUGUCCCCAAAACCGAGAUGAUUCCGUAGUUGGAGCCACUCUUCCCUUUGCAGCCUUCAAUAAAGAAACCCAGGACAGUUUAAUAAAAGACUAAAACCCUAGAAA